rnacentral:misc_RNA from 1 species
GGAGAAGUUGUUUUCUGGGACUAAGUGCGUGAGUUUAAGAGACCCAUUUUGCCUUUUUGAUGAUUUUUAACUGAAACAUGAUAAUGCAAUUUUUUUGGAAGUUGAAUUUGAUCUUCUUUUCUUGAUUUGGUUGUUUGUUUGUUUGUUUCUUGGAGAUUGGAAAUAGUGAAAUCUUAUAUUAGUUUUUGGGAAAUGCAAUAUUUUCUUAAAUAUUAAGCGGUGUUAUGUUUUCUUGAAGUAAAACAGAUUUUUGUAAUUAUCUUUGCAUGAGAUGGUUUCUUUUUCAUCUUUGAAACUGAAUAUGAUAUUUAACAAUGUGACAGAUUUGAUGCUGUGAUCCAUUUUGC